rnacentral:snRNA from 1 species
GGAUAUGAGGGCGAUCUGGCUGCGACAUCUGUCACCCCAUUGAUCACCAGGGUUGAUUCGGCUGAUCUGGCUAGCUGGGCGGGUGUCCCUUUCCUCCCUCAAUGAUCCAUGCGUGUCCCUCCCGAAGCUGCGGGCUUUUUUGAAGAGGACAACCACCCCCAAUAGAGGAGGACCAAGUACUAAGUCUCUGAUUAUGAUUUUUGAAAUAUUAUAGAAUGCCCUUAUGAAACAAGCAUAUGUUAUAAUUCCAAUUAUGCCAAAACAAACAUAAAUGGACAAGUAUGUUUAUAUGU